rnacentral:rRNA from 1 species
CUUAAAUUGAAGAGUUUGAUCAUGGCUCAGAUUGAACGCUGGCGGCAGGCCUAACACAU